GACGAACGCUGGCGGCGUGCUUAACACAUGCAAGUCGAACGAUGAAGCUAGAGCUUGCUCUGGUGAAUUAGUGGCGAACGGGUGAGUAACACGUGAGUAACCUGCCCCGAACUCUGGGAUAACUGCUGGAAACGGUAGCUAAUACUGGAUACGACCUACGAAGGCAUCUUCUGUAGGUGGAAAGAAUUUCGGUUCGGGAUGGACUCGCGGCCUAUCAGCUUGUUGGUGAGGUAAUGGCUCACCAAGGCGACGACGGGUAGCCGGCCUGAGAGGGUGACCGGCCGCACUGGGACUGAGACACGGCCCAGACUCCUACGGGAGGCAGCAGUGGGGAAUAUUGCACAAUGGGCGCAAGCCUGAUGCAGCAACGCCGCGUGAGGGAUGGCGGCCUUCGGGUUGUAAACCUCUUUUAGUAGGGAAGAAGCGAAAGUGACGGUACCUGCAGAAAAAGCACCGGCUAACUACGUGCCAGCCGCCGCAGUAA
rnacentral:rRNA from 1 species